UGGUGAUGAUGAUGGUGAUGAUGGUGUUGGCGAUGACGGCCCUCAAUUAUCGCCACUACCAUCAUCAUUAUUAAGA